UACGGAGGGUGCAAGCGUUAAUCGGAAUUACUGGGCGUAAAGCGCACGCAGGUGGCUGAGUCAGUCGAUUGUGAAAGCCCUGGGCUUAACCUGGGAAUUGCAGUCGAUACUACUCGGCUCGAGUAUGGGAGAGGGCAGUGGAAUUCCCGGUGUAGCGGUGAAAUGCGUAGAUAUCGGGAGGAACAUCAGUGGCGAAGGCGGCUGCCUGGUCCAAUACUGACACUCAGGUGCGACAGCGUGGGGAGCAAACAGG
rnacentral:rRNA from 1 species